rnacentral:snRNA from 1 species
NAGAUUAGCAUGGCCCCUGCGCAAGGAUGACACGCAAAUUCGUGAAGUGUUUCAUUUAAAA